rnacentral:rRNA from 1 species
GUGCCAGCAGCCGCGGUAAAACGUAGGAGACAAGCGUUAUCCGGAGUUACUGGGCGUAAAGGGCGUGCAGGUGGUGCGGUAAGUCUGUUGUGAAAGCGCCUGGCUUAACCGGGCGAGGCCAAUGGAGACUGCUGGACUGGAGGACGGUAGAGGGGUGUGGAAUUCCGGGUGUAGUGGUGAAAUGCGUAGAGAUCCGGAGGAACACCAGAGGCGAAGGCGGCACCCUAAGCCGUACCUGACACUGAGACGCGACAGCACGGGGAGCGAACGGGAUUAGAAACCCCCGUAGUCC